CUUUCCCAUGAAGAAAUAAACUCAUCUACAUCUUGGAUGGCCUGAGGGUAAGUACAUUUUAAGCAAAUUUUCAUUUUUGAGUUAACUAUUCAUUUAAUUUAGUAACAAAUUCAAGGAACAAAAAUACCAAGAACAAUGGGUCUCAUUCACUAAUCGUGCAUACACACAAAUUGGACGCCCCUGGAGAGCCCUUAUAUAAAGAUGUUUUGAGAUAAUGUUAAUUAAAUUAAUUAACGUUAGAAUGAGGUUAAGAACAAAUUCUUUUGAGAAAUGAUUCUAUUAAUCUUUUUAAUCACAUGCUAAGAAUAGACUUUUAAAUAUUUUAGCUUAUUUUCAUAAGAUAUGGCUAUUACAUAGGUCUCGAAAAUAUUUGAUUCUAAUUUCAGUCCAAUAUUUUUGUAUAAUAAUGACACUAAACAGUGAAGUCUCUUUAUUCUCUCAGUCUCUGUAUUAUAGAAUAAUUGACAUUCAAAUCAAGAUUUCACUUCCAUUAUUAAUUUAGCAGCAUUGAUUCAAAACCAUAAGGUUUCUAUAAAUUCAGUAAACUAUAUAAUUUCUCAUUCAGAAAACAUUUAGAGAGGCAGAACCGAUUGAAAGCCUCUUUAAUGUGAUUCAGUCCUUUCCAUACAGGACGUCAUUUCCCUUUCAUGCUCUUAAACUGACAGCUCAGUAACACUGACUGCAUUUGAUGCAUUCAGUACUUUCUUAGAUUAUCUGCAUGAUGAAAUAUUCAGCUCUUAGAAGGAUCCCUUAUUCAGAUUUCAGGGCUGCAGUUAUUGUCUCUUGCCCAAAACAUGAAAUGAACUUUUUAAAUUGAAGCAGACCACUCUGUUUUGUUCCUUUGGCUUGAAAGAAUGCAGUUCCCUGGAAGUGAGUUUAAUCUGACCCAUUCCCGACUCAAGAGAAAACAUGAGCGUUUUACUUUACAGUAUAAAUAAAUCAGCUCUCUAUAACUUUAUAAGCGUAUAAACCAAUCGUUGUCCCUAGCUACUAGACUUCAGCAUGUGCUAUUUAAUUUAGCGUGAUGGCUUGAUAGUUUUGACUUUGUGUGGUUUUUGAGUGAAAAGAAUAGGCCUAUAUAUUUCUUAAUGUUCACAGUGUAUGCCUUUUCUAAAUUUUUCACCCUGAAUAUUGUUUUAGUGUAAAUUGUACCUUUUUAUGGCUUUUAUAGAAAGUUCAAGUGAAGUUUCUAAUUCAUGUGGUCACCUUAAGCUUGAACUUUAAGAUUAGGCACAUGUACUUUUUGGAUUGACUUUUCUUCGUUAUAUAAGUGGUGACUCAGCUCAAUUUGUUCCUGUCUUAAAUAAUGGUGUAGUAGGCAUGCUAAGGGGUAAAUGCUGAUUCGUAAGUAUUAUGUAUUGUAAGUAACAGUAGGCUUUCCUGCCAUGCCACUGCGCAUUUCCUGAACAAAACAGGUUUUGAGGCAGUUGAAUAUCUGUCCUUGUGGAGAAAAUAGCACACCAUUUACAAAUGUGAUUUUGAAUAAUUUGCACCUGCCAUUUUCUCUUGUUUUUUGAAUGAGUGACUUCAAAAAAUAUCAUGCCGCUCGUAGCGCUUCUGGCCUGCCGACCGCCAAUUCUGCCCGGAAAUGCAAGAUUACAAAGGAUUUAAAUAGCAGCGCUCGCUCAGAAGAUGUCAAUGCUGUAAGAAGCCGAUUGAGAAGCCAAAAGUGUAGCAUCAUGGGAGUCGAUGGAGUCUUCUCAUUGUGUUUUGACACCGAAUAACGGAGGAAAACUCAUGACUGUUGAAGAUUACUCAAUCAGAAAUGCAUUAGAAGAGUCCAAAACUCACAAGGAAGGUCUAUCCGGUUGCAUUCUUCGUAAAUGUUCUUGCUCGGGUGAUGAAGGACCUGCCGGAAGUAUGCCGGAAAUGAGCUGUCUUUGCUCAUGCUGAGCUUUAAUUGCUAUGUGACUAAUCACUCUCAAAAUGCAGGAAAAUACCAAGUGCUUGACUGUCAACUAUCCUCAGCCAUGAUGUCAAAGGCAGCUGACAGGGAAUAAUAUAAUAAUAUUAAAAUGCAUAGUUCACCCACAAAUUAAAUUAAAUUUCUUUUUUUUUUUUGCCGUACUAUGGAUGUCAGUGGCUACCAUCAACUUUUUGGUUACCAACAUUCUUUAAAAUAUCUUCUUUUGUGCUCAACAGAAGAAAGAAACUGAGGUUUGGAACAAAAUGGGGUACCAUAGAAAAAAUUUUGGUUCAAAAAAGAAGCUUUCAGUGAACAGUUCUUAAAAGAACCAUUUUUAUUUCUUUGUGUGAUGAAUAUUUAAAAAAUCUGAAGAACCGUUUUUUUUUGUAUAAAUAACCUUUUGUGGAAUGGAACGUUGCACCGCUAUGGAUGUUAAAGCUUUUUCAUGGAAUCAUCAGUGCCAAUAAAGAACAUUUAUUUUUAA